UACGAAUCCUUUUGGCUGAGAAGGAGGUGCAGCCCACGUCCUUGCAUCUUGAUACAGUCGUGAGUCUUGCUGGCUGUGGACUAUAUCGAAGUUCAACUGGCUGCUGAUAACCCGCCGCAGCCAUUUCGUUCGCUAAGCUUUCAGGUGGUAGCGGUUGACCCCAUGUUCGUCUCUGAGAUUGCGCAUGAUCAUGUAAGUAGAAUUGUGACUGUUGAGGGUCCUGAAUUCUCGUUGGUAUUGAAUUCAUUGGUGGUAUGGCAUAAUUCUAUGAAAUAAAUUGGUAGUUACCAUGUACAAUCUGUGCAUUUUGACAUAAACACAGUAAAGGAACAGACAAUCUACAAACUAAUUGUUUCUUCCUGUUAUUAGUUGUAACAUAUUGCGUUUACCUGCAUAUGUUGCUGGCUUAAGCUCUUUAAUUGCUGCAGUUGUUGCUGCAUCUGUUGCUGAUGUUGACUCAUUAAAUGUUGUUGUUGAAUUUGAUUUUGUUGAUUGGCUAGCCGCUGUAUAUCUGCUUGAAUUUCGCUAAGACUGCUAUUCAUUCUGAAGAAAGUGAAAUGGGAUGUGAAAAUUUAUAAAUAUAAAUUAAAGCAUAGUAAUAGAAAUACUAACUGUGAUAUAGACUCAUGGUACUGGUCUAAGUCCAUAUUCUCAAUAUCUGGUGUGCGUCGUGUUUCGAUGAAAGGUGCACUGCCAUCCUGCUCAAGCCAUUUAUGUUCCACAUCUCGCACAUCUUCACUGAUUUCCUGGAUUUUUGAACGAGUAGUUGAGUUAAAAAUACAAUUUAGAUAUUUUUUAACA